GGUAGUGUAGUUAAUAGCUGCAUUAUUUGACGUUAGCGACAGAAGAAGCACCGGCUAACUCCGUGCCAGCAGCCGCGGUAAUACGGAGGGUGCGAGCGUUAAUCGGAAUUACUGGGCGUAAAGCGCAUGCAGGUGGUUUGUUAAGUCAGAUGUGAAAGCCCGGGGCGUCAACCUCGGAAUAGCAUUUGUAAACUGGCAGACUAGAGUACUGUAGAGGGGGGUAGGAAUUUCAGGUGUAGCGGUGAAAUGCGUAGAGAUCUGAAGGAAUACCGGUGGCGAAGGCGGCCCCCUCGGACAGAUACUGACACUCAGAUGCGAAAGCGUGGGGAGCAAACAGGAUUAGAUACCCUGGUAG
rnacentral:rRNA from 1 species